UUGCAUUGUCAUAUUUGCUGUUUACUCACUUUGCCUAGCAACAGCUGUUUACUCGCCGUUGCUAAGCAAUGAUUAUUGCGUUGUCAUAUUUGCUUGAAUGUAAGCAGUUCUCCGCGGAGAUUGUUGCACAGCUGUUGAAGCGAGCAGGAAAAUGUACGUGACGUCCGGAGGGUCGUGACGGUCGUGACCCAUUGAGCCGACUGCACGUGGUUGUUUGGAUGUGUGGAAGAUAGAGCUCCACAGGUUCGUGUUCGUGCCAGUUUUUGCCAUAGUUGAUCUUCAUUUGUUGACAUUGCUGGUGUAUGUCACUUUUCUUUGGUCUGCAGUGAACAUCCUUUUGUGAGGAUUUGUUUCAGUGUUCCUUCAUCUGUUGAAAGUGCUGAGAUGAUGAUGGGGCGAGAUGAUGGGGCAGCGACGUCUUGUUUGAAAAUGAGCUGUCUCUCCACAUCCAUGAGGGGCUGAAGUGAUUGGUGGUUUUCCAUGUUCAUUGGACAUAUGCACAGCAAGAUCUUGCAGACUUAAUAGGGGGAAGAUGACUGCUUUUCAGCAGGCUUAUAAAGAGAUGAUCAAAGACCUGAGAGGGAACUGAAGUACAAUGACACCCUCAUCAGUGCUCUUUGAUGCGAGAUUAACCUCAGUCAUACAUCAUGGGAAGUCUGGAUGAGGAUUUCCAGCACUGGAAGAAGUGCAGCAGUUGUGUAAGAGGUUCAUCUGCCAGCACUACAGAUGGUGUGAUUGGUAAACUACCGCAUCGUUCUCCGCCACAAGAUAACUAGUCUUGCAACUAGCCUCAGAAAUGUAUGGCUGAUAAAUAUAGAUUAAUAUCCCUUUAGGUAUCAUUAUUAUGAUGCUUGAAGUGUGAGUUGGUCUAAAUGAAUGACCUGUGUUUGAAUUAUAUGUAAGAAAUUUAGAUUUAUUUUGUCCAAAAGAAAAAUGGGUACAGGAGGGGGGGUAUUCAUUUAAAUGGCCAAGGAAGAAAAUGAUUUCAGCCUAGUACAGUAUGUCAGUAUUCAUGGUAGAAGUAUAUGCCAUUAACCCUGUGUAGGCCAAGUUUUUUGACAGCUUGAGACAAAAUACAAAUUAUAACAGAAUGUACUCUAACUUAAUCGAAGCUAACAAAACUAACCUGAGGUAACAUGUUGAGGAAAGUACAUAUACGUCUGUGGAACAGAAAGGGUCAAGGUGGGUAUACUUAUCACCAUGAGCUUUAUGAAUUUAGCCUAUUGGUUUGUAUGAGGUUCACUCUGCACUAUACCUCACCAUCCAUAGGAGUACACAAAGCACAGAAUAGACCCAUAGUGAGCAGAUGUUUUGCUAGAGUCAAGGUCAGUGUAAUGUAAUAGAAGUGGUCCCAUUUUAGGAGAACACGCACUGAAAAAUAUGUCUUUGCAUCAGUUGUGUUGAUACUGAUAAAGUCAUCUUGCCCAGGUAAAGGGAUAUAUGGUUAGGGUGGACAAGUGAUUAUUACUGUGGUAAAAGGGGGGUGCAGCCAUGUACUAUAUUUUAUAUUUAUGGUUGUCUGCUUUGAUAUUGUGAUAAGUGUAAUGCCAGAACUUGUACUUGAGAUUGUAUUGCUUACUUUGAUAACCAGAAGUUAAUGGAUAUAUAAGACCUUUAUCGUUGUGUAUGUGUGGCUGUCUGGCUGUCGUUGUUUGAUAGAGGUCCUGAAAGUGCUAUGUACUUGUAUGUGGAUUCUAAUUUUAUUGCUGUUUGGAAAAUAUUUCAACAUACCUUUAGACAGAAAUAUGUUCGUUGCAAAAUGACACAAGACAUUCUCAUAAUCAUUGUCAAUUUGUCAGUUAUGAAGUUAUGAAGAGAAUGUCCUGCAUAUUUACAUAUAGAAUCGAUUUGUGUCAAGGCCAGGAGAGUUCACUGAUUGACUACUUAUAUAAUUGUAUGAAUUUCUGUUCUACUUGCUGCCUCAGUGGCAGACCAUAUGGAUUGUGUAUGAAUGGUGUUACCAGUUUCUGUUAAUGUUGAUAUUUAUUGUAAUGAUGUGAAUGCAGUUUCUGAGGACAUGAGCUAUCUGUAUUUUCCAUCAAGAUAUGUAUAUUUUUUUAUAAUGGUGUAUUGUUACAUCUUUAUUCUAUUUGAAAACACGUCAUUCAUCGGGAGAUGAUUGGAUGAAUUGUGUCAGUAUGCUGAGUGUAUGAAUUUUGCAUAUACAAAGCAAGGAUUCUUAAUAUUGGUGGUAUUUCAGUUCAGAAAAAUGUGAUGGAUUUCAGUCCUAUAAUAAGAUAGGAAGUCGUGUUCAUGUUGCAUAAAUAUGUGCUAAUGCUGUAGGUGGGUGAUACAAUAGGAGCAGUACUGUAUGUGUUACGAUCUGUCAGAUUUGUGUUUUUUUGGAAUACACAGUUCAUAUUUGUUUCACAGUUUGUAAUAGUCUCCUGAGUACAGUAGUGUGUAAUUAUUCAUGUCUGUUGAUCUCUUCAAUUUAUUUGAAGAGUGGAAAGUUAGGUAAAUUUUAUGUAAGAGGUCAAGCUGAAAAGAAAGAAAAAUAGUAUUUCAUUGAAACAAAAAUGGAUAAUUUCUUAAUGUCUGGUGCAACUGUACACAAUUGUGAACAUGAUCACCAGCAGUCAACAGAGUUUUGUAAGUGCAGGGGUAUUUGGAAAUGUGCAUUAAAUCAGAUGUCUCCAUAUUGUGGAUGGAAGGACAUCCCUACCACCAUCUAGACUUCAUCGUGUGAUGUGUGGUGGUGGAAGUCAUGGUGGAGGGGAUGAUGGCGAAGAUGGUGGUGGUGGUGAUCGCCAGUGAAUGUCGAUAAGUGGAAAGAUUUGCACAGUGAGGAUGUAGAUCACUGGACAGACUAUAUUGCACUCACAUCUCUGUAUACUGCAACAUUUUUACAGCUGUAAUUGAAUUAAUACAGCAGAGAUUACACUGCCAUGUGGGUGGGUUUGGUGCAAGAAAACAAGUGUUACUUUUCAGCAUACCAUCCUGUUGAAGGGCUGGUUAGUUUUCAGGAAUGUUGCUAUGUUGUGUAUGAGGUUCUUGAGCUGAGGUCUGGAAGGCUUGUGUAGAAGCAUUCUGUAUGAAUGUUGUGUUGUACAGUCUGUAAUGUACAGAUCAUGUAUUGAUGGCAAUAAUAUAUUGUAUUGAAUUGUGACAUGUAUAAAGUGCUGGAUUAAUUUGUUUGUGCAGUGUUUGUAAGCAAUACAAGAGUCUUCUCUUUGAA